rnacentral:misc_RNA from 1 species
AAGUCGUAACAAGGUUUCCGUAGGUGAACCUGCGGAAGGAUCAUUAACACGUAUCCAACGUUAAACCCCCCGUGAACCUUCAGAGCGUUCUUGCCGCCCGUGACAAUCAGCAAUCCUGGUAAAUCAAGUGGGAAUAUCCGUUAUUGAUUCAGGACCUCUGCUGUCAUGUGUUAGGGAAACCAUAGCGGCAAUUGAGAGCUUUUAUCGUUAGUUUGGCGUCCUGGCCGGGCGAGUGAAAGUGUCGCUAGACGGUUUCUAGGGUAAGGCUUCGCCAUCGCUGGAGGCUCACCACGUAGCCGGCGGACAAACUACAGGGCUAUAUGCCCCCUAAUGACGACCAAGUUAAAUAGGGCCUCUGUCACAUAGCAAGUGUGCCGUGCCAGAGGAAAAGUACAACUGUUAACAAUGGAUAUCUUGGUUCUC